GUAACUUUGCUCAUCUCUAAUUACAAUUUCCACAAUAGUACAUAGGGGCACAGAUUUCUCCCAGAUCUAAAGAAGAUCAUUUAAUGCAGAUAGAUCUAAUAGCGUGUGUGUAAGGGCAGCCCUGCCUCCUUCAUACAUGGGUUUUCAUCUUCUGUCAAGUGCUAAACAAUCAUCUCGUCCUAAACACCUGAAUUCUAUGUGGUCUGAAGAUGUACAGAAGUACGAUACAGCUGUUACCUCCAUGCUGAGGUCCCCGGCAUCCUUGCCAUGAUACCUGCCUGACACUGCACCUCUAUCCCCUGCUAUCCCCGAAUAAAGGAUAUGAAGCUACGACCGUGACACCAACCAACCAGCGAGGUACAUAGAAGAAAGGGGAUCCAUAUCAAAGAUGGAAAUGGCCCUGGUGUUUGAUUUUGCCCUCCACCCAGGAAAGAAAGGUCUGGUAUUUACUUCUCCUUGCCUCCAAGGAUGUUCAAGUAUACCCAGGAUGUCUAGAAUAAUUACUAGGACUUCUUCAGAGAUAAGUUUAUACAUCCCAGAUCCACACUUAGUCCUAACAGAAGGAGUUAAAAGAGAAUUUUUUGACACCUUAAGGUGAUGUUGUCCAAGUACCUCUGUGCACAUCUAAGACCUAUAAGGGCUUCAGGCAGGGCCAGGAGAUAUUGUGGCCAUGCAACCUAAUAUGGCCAAAGCAGGGGUACUCCCUAACAUGAGACAAACAGUGCAUUAAAAUUUGGGGUGCAUUUUAUUCCUUUCAGAGGCUAUCAUUUUUUUUUUUUUUUUAAUUAUCCCACAAUUGAUGCAUAUGUGAAAAAAAAGCUAUUCUAAAUAUUUUACACUGACUUGUGCUAAUACCAUUAACACAAAAAGGCUUCAAUGAACGUACUACUAACCCAAGGGAAUACCUUAUGGGGUGUCUUUUUAAAAAGGGGUCACUUGUGGGGGUGUGGUAUCACUUAGCAGCUUUAAUCCUUUGCAGGCAUGGAGUGGGACCUAUAAUUUUUAUAAUGAUGUUCUGGAAUCCAAAUGGGGUUGCUUUCAUUCUUGGUCCCACCAUGUAGCAAAGCAACCAAAUAUGGCCUAAGUGGUGGUAUUGCCAAAGACCUGACAAGCAGCAUAAUAAAAUAUGGGGUGCAUUUCCUCCUUUUCAGAUGCAAAGUACAAAAAAUAUGUCCCGCAAAUGGUGCAUAUGUAUAAAAAAAAGCUAAUUUCAUCUGACUUUGUAACCAUUCCAGCCACACAAAAAGGAAUCAAAGUAAUCACUUUUAGUCUAGGCAAAUACUUUAGGGGGUGUAGUUUCCAAAAUGGGGUCACUUGUGGAGGUUCUGUAUGGUUCUGGCAGCUAAAACCCUUUGCAGGCAUGAAGAGUGGCCUAUAAUCCUUUCGGCCUAAAAUGAUGCCUUGAAAGCCAAAUGGCGCUGAUCUCCUUCCGGGUCCUGCCUUGCGGCCAUGGAACCAACUAUGGCCUAAUCAGGGGUAUUUUCAAACACAGGAUUAGCAGCUCAAAAAAAUAUAGGGUGCCUUUCCUCCUUUUUAGAUGCAAUGUACAGCCAAGGAACCAAAUAUGGCAAGCAGUUCAACAAAAUAUAGGGUGCAUUUCUUUCAAUAUCAGAAGCGAUGUAGCAUGCUGGGAGUUGUAGUUUUGCAACAUCUGGAGGUCCGCAGGUUGAAGACCACUGUUAGGGGAAGUUGUACUCAUCUGUCCACUCCGCUCCGGACCGUCACCACUCGUCACCGCU